rnacentral:rRNA from 1 species
UACAGAGAGUGCAAACGUUGUUCGGAAUCACUGGGCUUAAAGCGCACGUAGGCGGCACUGUAAGUGUGGGGUGAAAGCCCACGGCUCACCCGUGGAAUUGCCUGGCAGACUGCAGUGCUCGAGUGUGGUAGGGGAGAGCGGAACUCCUGGUGGAGCGGUGAAAUGCGUAGAUAUCAGGAGGAACACCGGUGGCGAAGGCGGCUCUCUGGUCCACAACUGACGCUGAGGUGCGAAAGCUAGGGUAGCGAACGGG